GUUUUCUUGAUGCUUUCUGUUCCACGUCUUUACUGAAUUCAUGAAAAUUGAAAGUUCUACAUGCAUUUCAAAUAGUAUUUGAUACUACCACAUUAAACUAAAGUAUGCAUAUGAAAUUCAGGGAGCCAUCGUCAACAAGUCAACUGGCUUUUCUGCUUCGAUUUUCAGUAGUGACAACAAGUCCUCAACAAGGUCACUUCCUCAAACUUUCCACAAUGUAAGAAGCAUACAGGUCCAUGGAAUACUUGAUGGCAUCUACAGCUGCUUCAGCAGGAAGAAAGUCCUCAACGGCAACUGACUUGUUCUCAUUCUUUUUAUAGUCUUCAAAAAAGCGCCG
rnacentral:misc_RNA from 1 species